UACGUAGGGGGCAAGCGUUGUCCGGAUUUAUUGGGCGUAAAGAGCGUGUAGGCGGCCUGGAAGGUCAGCUGUGAAAACUCGAGGCUCAACCUCGAGACGUCGGUUGAAACCACCUGGCUAGAGUCCGGAAGAGGAGUGUGGAAUUCCUGGUGUAGCGGUGGAAUGCGCAGAUAUCAGGAGGAACACCGGUGGCGAAGGCGGGUCUCUGGGCCAUUACUGACGCUGAGGAGCGAAAGCGUGGGGAGCGAACAGG
rnacentral:rRNA from 1 species